UACGUAGGUGGCGAGCGUUGUCCGGAUUUACUGGGCGUAAAGAGCGCGCAGGCGGUCGUACAAGUCGCGUGUGAAAGCCCCCGGCUCAACUGGGGAGGGUCACGCGAUACUGUUCGACUCGAAGGCAGGAGAGGGUAGUGGAAUUCCCGGUGUAGUGGUGAAAUGCGUAGAUAUCGUAAGGAAGACCAGUGGCGAAGGCGGGUCUCUGGACAGUUCCUGACGCUGAGGCACGAAGGUCAGGGGAGCAAACGGG
rnacentral:rRNA from 1 species